AUUGAACGCUGGCGGCAGGCCUAACACAUGCAAGUCGAACGAGUGGCGGACGGGUGAAUAAUGUCUGGGAAACUGCCUGAUGGAGGGGGAUAACGACGGGAAACGGUAGAUAAUACCGCAUACAAUCGGAUGGGCCCAGAGGGGAUUAGCUAGUAGGUGGGGUAACGGCUCACCUAGGCGACGAUCCCUAGCUGGGCUGAGAGGAUGACCGGCCACACUGGAACUGAGACACGGUCCAGACUCCGACGGGAGGCAGCAGUGGGGAAUAUUGCACAAUGGGCGCAAGCCUGAUGCAGCCAUGCCGCGUGUAUGAAGAAGGCCUUCGGGUUGUAAAGUACUUUCAGCGGGGAGGCGUUACCCGCACAAGAAGCACCGGCUAACUCCGUGCCAGCCGCCGCGGUAAUUC
rnacentral:rRNA from 1 species